rnacentral:rRNA from 1 species
CAGCACCUCAAGUGGUCAGGAUGAUUAUUGGGCCUAAAGCAUCCGUAGCCUGCUUUGUUAGUUUUCGGUUAAAUCCAUACGCUCAACGUAUGGGCUGCCGGGAAUACUGCAAAGCUAGGGAGUGGGAGAGGUAGACGGUACUCGGUAGGAAGGGGUAAAAUCCUUUGAUCUAUUGAUGACCGCCUGUGGCGAAGGCGGUCUACCAGAACACGUCCGACGGUGAGGGAUGAAAGCUGGGGGAGCAAACCGGAUUAGAUACCCGAGUAGUCC